GGGGGACCAGGAAAGGGGAUAACAUUUGAAAUCUAAAUAAAGAAAAUAUCCAAUUAAAAGAAAAAAAGAGGGGAACAGGCCCAAAACAACCCCAGGCUGUUAGAGAAGACGUGAUCUUGGCAGAGGUCCUCAUAUGACAGCUUCAGUUCUCCAUACCCUUUGUGGGGGGAAAAUGAGCCUUUGGACAUAGACAGUAAACAGCAGGAGACACUGGACAUAGACAGUAAACAGCAGGAGGCACAAAACAUGGGAUUGGUACUGUGUCAUUUGACACUCUGAGCCUUAAUAAGAAAUUAAGUUAAGGACAUAUAGUGUUCCCUGGACCCAUGAAAUCUGGGCCUUUGGCAUAGCCAAUGGCUCUCUCUACUGGGCCAUCUGGGCAGCUUUCCUAUGGUGCUGCUCGAUCAACCCAAAAGCCUCUCUCCCAGGCACCAUGUCAGUAUUGUACAACCUAUCAUCCCACCCUGCUGGGGGCUUUAGAACUUCUCACAGACCAUUUUUAGGAAGGCAUAUGGCAGCUUCCUUUCUACCUUGGUUUCUUUGGGGCAUGAUGCUUUGAUGUUGCUUUAGAGGCACAGGCUGUAAAUCUGAAAGGCACUUAAAAAAAAGGUAUAAAGAAAAUCUGGAUGUAAUAAAAUCAUGGAAAGCUUUAUGUGAAGAAAAUUGAAUGUUAUAGUAUAAAAAAGAUAUUUAUGAAUGUACAGUUUGCUAAAGCCAAGUUUUUGUUUGUUGAUUUCUUUGCAUUUAUUAUAGACACUAUAAAGAACGUUGUC
rnacentral:lncRNA from 1 species